GACGAACGCUGGCGGCGUGCCUAAUACAUGCAAGUAGAACGCUGAAGAGAGGAGCUUGCUCUUCUUGGAUGAGUUGCGAACGGGUGAGUAACGCGUAGGUAACCUGCCUUGUAGCGGGGGAUAACUAUUGGAAACGAUAGCUAAUACCGCAUAACAAUGGAUGACACAUGUCAUUUAUUUGAAAGGGGCAAUUGCUCCACUACAAGAUGGACCUGCGUUGUAUUAGCUAGUAGGUGAGGUAAUGGCUCACCUAGGCGACGAUACAUAGCCGACCUGAGAGGGUGAUCGGCCACACUGGGACUGAGACACGGCCCAGACUCCUACGGGAGGCAGCAGUAGGGAAUCUUCGGCAAUGGGGGCAACCCUGACCGAGCAACGCCGCGUGAGUGAAGAAAGUUUUCGGAUCGUAAAGCUCUGUUGUAAGUCAAGAACGGGUGUGAGAGUGGAAAGUUCACACUGUGACGGUAGCUUACCAGAAAGGGACGGCUAACUACGU
rnacentral:rRNA from 1 species